ACUCAUCUACAUCCGAAUACGAAGCUAAUCUGCAAAUCCUCUACAAUAAGAAAUGAGAACUGCAAUUAACAUUCUCUUAUUCCUCUAAUGAAUCUGUAAUCUAACAUACAUACUACAGCAUCGAUUAUCGCUUUUAAAGUAGAGAGCUCGGCAUGAGCGGCAUUGGAAAUAAACAUUUAUGGUGGGAUUCAAAUUUGCAAGAAGAAGAAAGAUUGUGAAUUUGAUAAGCUACCAUCGUCCACAAGUCGAAGAAAGUUGGGAGCUGUUGCAGAAUGCACUCCUGAAUUGGAAAAUGUCGGAUGAGAAAUUGCAGAAAAAUGUGAUGGAAAGCCUCUUGAUAUGUUGAUAUAUAGUGUUGGAGGCAUCCUCGCUGUAAUUUCUUUAGGCUCAAAGACAUCUUAGAAAGAGGAAAGACUGAGUAAAAGUGUCCAAAAACUUGAGCCGGAAGUCCAAUAAAUCACAUCUGUGAGAUAAUUUACCUUACCACUUGCGACUGCGAGCCUGCUUUCUCUAUUUGGGGUUGUUUCCAAAAGACGCUGAAAUUUCAGCGUGGAAAUUGAUCUGCAUGUGUAUAGGAGCAGGGAGUAGGGUUCGUACAAUAAGAGCUUGAUUGUAGUUUGGAGGAAACUGCAGAGAAGUAUUUGAAGGAUCUUAUCCAUAGAAACUUAGUCAAAACUGACAAGUUUAAACUCAAUGGUAAGAAAAUGAGUCAAAAAUGAGAUUCUUUUGACUUCAAGACUGGACCACCUAAACAUCGUUAACCUACUUGGACUGCGUUCAUGAAAAUGGAGAGGCGAUGUUACUUUAUGAUUGCAUGUCACAGGGAAAUUUAUUUCACCAUCUCCACAAGUUGGGAAAUUCUUUAGUGUUUGAUAUUUCCCACUCAAGAUAGGGGCCCUUGGCAGUGAUUGUCACCCUAGUUAUCAGUUACCAUGAUGGUGAAAGUAACCUUUGGUUACCUGGACCCAAAUUACAUCUAAACUUAUUGAUUGUCAGACAAGUCUGAUGUAUACUCAUUUAGUGUCAUGUUGUUUGAAGUUUUUCAUGUGGUACCCCGACAAUAGAUAUGAGCUCAGUAGCAAAGUCGCUGAGCUUGGCGUCAGGUGUUAAAUUAUUUGAAGCAAGGAAAACUUGAAGAAAUAUUUGAUCCUAAUCUCAAUGGCCUAAUUGAUCCCGGAUUCUUUGCUCAAACAGCCAUUGCAUGCCUGAAUCACCGAGGGAUUGAUCGGCACCAAUGAGAGAUGUUGUUAAGAACUUUGAGUUGGCUAUGGGAGCUCCGAGCAGCUCGACCGUUUGAGCCUGGAUCUGGGAGAUUCUCUCAGAUUUUAGAAAAUUUAUAUUGUAGGAAAGAUUUGGUAAAGUCUACAAAGGUCUCGUUGAUAAAGGGCAAAAAACUGUUGCUGUAAAGAGGUUGAAAUCAAAUUCCAAGCCAGGAGUACGCAGGUUUUUGACUGAGAUCGAGGCACUUUUUGAGCUUCAACAUAUCAAUCUCGUCCCCAUGAUUGGCUAUUGCAGGGAGCAGAAGAAAUGAUUCCGAGCAUAUGCCCAACGGUACAUUGGCUGACCAUGUCUGCAGAAAUGCCAAGAGGAACAUAAAUUGUACCUCUCACAUGGAAACUGUGCCUUAAUGUCUGCAUAGACGCUGGUCGAGAUCUCGACUAUCUGCACACAAGCCACGAAGUCAUUUAUCGUGAUAAAAUUGGUAAAGGAGAUGCUAAAUGAGAUAAUAGAUUCAAGUCUGAGAAGAGGAGAUUCCUACCCAACAUCUUGAAGACGUUUGUGGAGGUUGCAGAAAAGUGCUUGCAUGCUAAACUGAAGUUUCGACCAACAAUGUCCCAAGUUGUGUAGCAUCUCGAGUUUGCACUUGAGCAGCAGGAGACAAGGAAUUCAGCUCUUGUUGCUAGAGGUGUAAGUCCAGCAAACAAAGACAUUAUUAUAUCAUCUGAAAGCCCUUGCCAAUUAGCAGAAGCCUAUGCAGAUAUGCAGACUGUUAAAUCUCCUCAAACCAAACUCGCUGAUUUGAAUUACUCUCAGCUGCUAGUAAAGAUUUGAGGAAACCAAAGAAGUAUAACCCGUUCCGGCAUGGCAUGUCUUGUGGCGCCAGGAUAUUCCAUCUGACUCGCUGGAAAUCUGCUUAGCACCCGCAAAUUCGUGGAACUAUGAUCUGAGCGAUUUCGCAGCUGCUGCCAAUGAAUUCUCAAGUCCAUGCAGAUACUUCUCACACCAUGAGAUGAAAACAGCAACUCAGGACUUCGGCGAUGAUUUUGUCAUCGGCAUGGGAGCAUUUGGGAAGGUGUAUAAAGGGAUACUGAUUGAUGACGGGGCCACCACUGUGGCAAUUAAAAAACUGAAUUCAUCAACCUUGGAAGCUGCCAGUGAACUCAUUGAAAUCCAGUUUUGGUCAAAGCUGAGGCACCAAAGCUUGGUAUCACUAAUCGGGUAUUGCAAUGACAAAGGGGAGAUGGCCUUAGUCCACAAUUACGUGGCCCAUGGCACUUUUCGCGAUCAUCUGUACAAUUCAAGAACCCCCCCCCCCCCCCCCCCCCCCUAACAUGGAAGCGAUGCCUCCAAAUAUGUGGUAUUGUUUGAAGUUUUAUGUGCGGGACCAGCAGUAGACCAUGAGCUAACGAGAGUGCAAGUGGGCAAAGUGGGCUACAUCAUGUUUCAAGGAAGGGAAACUUGAACAGAUUGUUGGAUCCUAAUCUCAAUGGCCAGGUUGGGCCCAAGUGCUUGAACAAGUUUGUCGAAACAGCCGUAGCAUGCCUCAGUGAAUUUGGGAUCGAUCGGCCAGCCUUUAGGGAUGUCAUUCGGAGCCUCGAGUCAGCAAUGCAGCUCCAAGAAGCCACCAGCAGAGAUGACGCUAACCUAUACCAAGAAGCCACUGUAAAUCAGAGUGCAAAAAUGGAAAAACACUUACAAAAGCUCCCUAUACUUUUAUUUUUAUUUCGUUAGAUCCUUGUACAAUUUUUUUGAUUUAACAUAUAAUUUUGUUGUAUCCUUAUUUAAAGGAUCUUAUAAGUCUGUUAAUUUUUCCAUUA